rnacentral:rRNA from 1 species
AUGUUCCCAAAUGGUACAUGCCGGCCGCUGCCACGCCGGGAAGAGUCUUGCUUUGUAAUGGCCGGUGAGGAGGAGGUGCAGGUGGUAGAGUCUUGCUUUGUAAUGCCGGCCGCUGCCACGCCGGGAAGAGCGCUGCGGCUGUCGCCGCUCGACCUCAUGCUGGCCAACAAAGGCCACACCCCACUUGUUCAUUUCUACCGUCGAUGUGGUUCCGUCGGAACCACCAAGGACGACUUCUUUGAUGUGGCCAGGUUGAAGACGGCAUUGGGCAAGGCUCUCGUGGCCUUCUACCCCCUAGCCGGCCGUCUCAGGCCGGACGCCAAGGGCAAAUUGGAGAUCGACUGCAACGGCGAGGGUUUACCUUUCCUUGUGGCUCGCUCUCGUCUAACUGCUGAUGACUUUAGAGACUUCAAGCCAUCACCAAGGCUAAGGAGGUUGUUUGUUCCCCUCGUCGACGACUCAGCAGGCAUCUUGUGCGCCAUUCAGGUGACAUUCUUGAAGUGUGGAGGGGUGGUCUUAGGGACGGCGACGCACCAUGGCGCUGUGGAUGGAACUGCCGCAUUCCACUUCUUCCGGACAUGGUCAGCUUUCUCUAGGGACGGCGACCGGGCUGUGGUGAACCUCCCUUACCAUGACCGCACCCGCUUAUGUGCACGCGACCCACCCAUUGUUCACCCCGACGCACUCUCAACUUUUUUCCCCAAGAUAAUCCUAUCCCGGACUCUGGGGCCUGUUGUCAACGAGGUGUUCACUCUUCAGAAGGACCAAGUUUCCACUCUUAAGCACAUUUGUGGUGGCGCAAGCGUGAGGACCUUCAGUGUCGUCAGUGCCCAUGUGUGGCAAUGCAUGUGUUUAGCCCGACGGCUACCACCGAACUCCACAACACGCUUGGCUUUUGUGGCCAACAUCCGGCGAAGCAUGAUGCCGCCACUCCCGGAUGGCUACUUUGGCAACGCGUUAAUAAAUCUAAGUGUUGCCGACGAAGCGCGGCGCAUUGCCUUGGGCGAGCUGGCCUACAUCGCACGCCGAAUCAGAGACACCAUCAGCCGGGUGAAUGAUGAGCUAGUGCAUUCGGCGGUCGACUACCUUGAGUUGGCAUUAACAAAGACAGACAACAGCACUGCUUUAGGAAGUCUGCCGGCGACAGAUAUGCGAAUGGUCAGUUGGCUUGGCAUGCCAUUCUAUGAUUUGGAUUUUAGUUGGGGAAAGCCAUUAGCUACUUUGUGUGCUGAAUCGAACCGUGGAGGCUUUGCGCACCUGCUGGAGAGCGUGCAGGGGGAUGGCAGCGUGCGCGUCAUCAUGUGUAUAGAGGCUGCAGUUCUCAAGGAGUUCGAGUGUUUGUUCUAUGCCAAGUCCGGGGCCAUGAUGUAUUCCAAGUUCUAG